UACGGAGGGAGCUAGCGUUGUUCGGAAUCACUGGGCGUAAAGCGCACGUAGGCGGCUAUUCAAGUCAGAGGUGAAAGCCCGGGGCUCAACCCCGGAACUGCCUUUGAAACUAGAUGGCUAGAAUCUUGGAGAGGCGAGUGGAAUUCCGAGUGUAGAGGUGAAAUUCGUAGAUAUUCGGAAGAACACCAGUGGCGAAGGCGACUCGCUGGACAAGUAUUGACGCUGAGGUGCGAAAGCGUGGGGAGCAAACAGG
rnacentral:rRNA from 1 species